rnacentral:lncRNA from 1 species
UUUUUUUUUUUUUUUUUUUUUUUUUUUUUUUGGUCCUUUUAGGGCUGAACCCAUGGCACACGGUGGUUCCUAGGCUAGGAGUCGAAUCGAAGCCGUAGCUGUUGGCCUACACCACAGCCACAGCAACAGCAGAUCUGAGCCGAGUCUGCCACCUACACAGCUCACGGCAACACCAGAUCCUUAACCGGCUGAUCAAGGCUAGGGAUCAAACCUGCAUCCUCAUGGAUGCUAGUCAGAUUCUUUUCCACUGAGCCACAACAGGAAUGCCGGCAGACUAAGAUUUGAAGGUCGAGUUCCAUUCUAAAAGCAACUGCUGAUGUGGGCAGUGCUUAUCCUUAUUGUUUUGUGGAAGAAAAGCUUUCCGGGGCCCUUUUGAAUUAGUUUUUCAUUUAUUAUUCACUCUUAACAAACGAAGGGAUUUGGUCUCUGGUUAUUAAAAAUUAGCAUAUCCGUUAUUUCUUGGUGGCACAGCAAGGAUCUGGUGUUGUCACUGCAGCAGCUUGGGUUGCUGCUAUGGCAUGGGUUCCUGGCCCAGGAACUUCUGUAUAACCUGGGUGUGGCCAAAAAACAAAGAAAGAAAUGACAUCCAAAAAGAAAAAAUGAAAGUAAUAGAAUUCAGGAGUUCCCAUCGUGGCUCAGUGGUUAACGAAUCCGACUAGGAACCAUGAGGUUGCGGGUUCGAUCCCUGGCCUUGUUCAGUGGGUUAAGGAUCUGGUGUUGCUGUGAGCUGUGGUGUAGGUUGCAGACGUGGCUUAGAUCUGUGGGUCUGGCUUAGGCCGGCGGCUACAGCUCCAAUUAGACCCCUAGUCUGGGAACCUCCAUAUGCCGCGGGAGCAGCCCUAGAAAAGGCAAAAAGACAAAAAAAAAAAAAAAAAAAAAAAAAAAAAAUAGAAUUCAGAUGCUAAAAUAGAAUGCUACAUUUUGUCUUCUAAUAAGUAUUUAUUUUUUAGCACUAGAAGGAUUUAUUACUUGCAGCGAAAGAAUACCAGAGAUCUUUCCCAAAGCAGUGUCUCCAAAUACUCAUAAUAUUUUAAAAUUCAUGCUACAUUAAGUAUUCAACUUUUUGUAACCACCAUAAUAAAAGAAUUAUUGGGAGUUCCUGUCAUGGCUCAGCAGUUACAAACCCAGUAUCCACAAGGAUGCAGGUUCCAUCUCUGGCAUUGAUCAGUGGGUUAAGGAUACAGCAUUGCCGUAAGCUGUGGUGCAGGUUGCAAACGUGGCUCAGAUUUGGCGUUGCUGUGGCUGUGGUGUAGGCCAGCAGCUGCAGUUCCAAUUUGACCCCUAGCCUGGGAACUUCCAUAUGCUUUUUGAAGCUCAGCUUAUAUCACAUUUUGAUCUAUAAGCCUAAAACUAUUUUUAUAAGCCAAAAAAUUGUUUAAUGACCAGUAACUAACACAGUAAAAAAGACUUCAUAUCAAAAGUUGAACUAGAGGAGUUCCCUGGUGGCCUAGAGGUUAAGGAUCAGGUGUGAUCCCUGCUGUAGUGUGAGUCUGAUAGCUGGCCUAGGAACUUCCACGUGCUGUGGGUGCAGCCAGAGGGGAAAAAAGCUGAACAACAGCUGAAAUACGGUUAGAAAUCAGAAUCCCUUCAUCAGAGUGGUUCUCCUCAGGGCUGAUUCUGCCCCUCAGGGACACUUAGCAGGGACACAUCUGGUUGCCAGCACCAGGGGACAGAGUGGAAGUGCUACUGACUUAGAGGGUAGAAGCCACGGUUCUGCUCCAGUCUUACAAGAGACAGGAAGGUCA